GACGGACGGAGCAAGCGUUGCUCGGAAUCAUUGGGCGUAAAGGGUGCGUAGGCGGCGCGGUAAGUCGGGUGUGAAAUCUCGGAGCUUAACUCCGAAACUGCAUUCGAUACUGCCGUGCUUGAGGACUGGAGAGGAGACUGGAAUUUACGGUGUAGCGGUGAAAUGCGUAGAUAUCGUAAGGAAGACCAGUGGCGAAGGCGGGUCUCUGGACAGUUCCUGACGCUGAGGCACGAAGGUCAGGGGAGCAAACGGG
rnacentral:rRNA from 1 species